UACGUAGGGUGCAAGCGUUAAUCGGAAUUACUGGGCGUAAAGCGUGCGCAGGCGGUUCGUUGUGUCUGUGGUGAAAGCCCCGGGCUUAACCUGGGAAUGGCCAUGGAAACUGGCGAGCUGGAGUGUGGCAGAGGGGGGUGGAAUUCCGCGUGUAGCAGUGAAAUGCGUAGAGAUGCGGAGGAACACCGAUGGCGAAGGCAGCCCCCCUGGGCUAACACUGACGCUCAGGCACGAAAGCGUGGGGAGCAAACAGG
rnacentral:rRNA from 1 species